AUUCUGUAAGAACCAAAAAAAAAAAAAAAAAAAAAAACAAGUCCCUCAGAAGUAUACACACUUACAUACUUCUCUCCUCUGAUUUUCAGCAACACUGAAAAUGGACCAAAAAAAAAAAAAAGAAAAAAAGAAGGGAAGUCGGCGAAUUGGCUUUAAAAUGCACACAAUCGAAUGGCUCUCUGUAUUCUUAAUCGGGAACCAACACAACCGCCUCGUACAUCAGUCCACUGCUGAUUACGAGCUUCGUGAAGUUCCUAUCGGUUGAGGACGUGCGAAAACGGUAUGAUUCCCGUAUCGAUGUUCUUAAGUACCGCAAAGUCUGUAGAGUCACUACUCUCUCGGACGCAGUGGUAUUUUGGUGCAAGUCGUAUCGGAAUCAGACUCCGAGCAGCUCUGUUGGCGCUGAUCGAUAUACAAAAAAUCUAUGUCCAUUAAGUACGAUGGUUUAAGCAGCGGUGAAAUCAUCAACUACGUGUUAACGUACGUAGAUGUCGUCGAACGAAUCGGAGACUUGUCUUGGUAUUUGGUGUUCGGACUUGCCAAAAUGAAAUUAGCUUUCUCUUUUUAAGUGACAAAUUGAUCACAACUAUGUAUUAAAAAAUAUCAGAAAAAUCGAAGAUUGGAAUUUAAAAAAUCAGAAUUGCUUA